AGAGUGAACGCUGGCGGCGUGCCUAACACAUGCAAGUCGAACGAGAACGGAACUAGCUUGCUAGUUUGUCAGCUAAGUGGCGCACGGGUGAGUAAUAUAUAGUUAAUCUGCCCCAAAGAAGAGAAUAAUUGUUGGAAACGACUUGUAAUGCUCUAUAUGCCUUUAUCACAUAAGUGAGCAAGGGAAACAUUUAUGGCUUUGGGAUGAGACUGUACGGUAUCAGCUAGUUGGUGAGGUAAUGGCUCACCAAGGCUAUGACAUCUAACUGGUUUGAGAGGAUGAUCAGUCACACUGGAACUGAGACACGGUCCAGACUCCUACGGGAGGCAGCAGUGGGGAAUAUUGCACAAUGGACGAAAGUCUGAUGCAGCAACGCCGCGUGGAGGAUGACACAUUUCGGUGCGUAAACUCCUUUUAUAUGAGAAGAUAAUGACGGUAUCAUAUGAAUAAGCACCGGCUAACUCCGUGCCAGCAGCCGCGGUAAUACGGGGGGUGCAAGCGUUACUCGGAAUCACUGGGCGUAAAGAGCAUGUAGGCUGGUUUGUAAGUUGGAAGUGAAAUCCUAUGGCUUAACCAUAGAACUGCUUCCAAAACUGCAGACCUAGAAUAUGGGAGAGGUAGAUGGAAUUUCUGGUGUAGGGGUAAAAUCCGUAGAGAUCAGAAGGAAUACCGAUUGCGAAGGCGAUCUACUGGAACAUUAUUGACGCUGAGAUGCGAAAGCGUGGGGAGCAAACAGGAUUAGAUACCCUGGUAGUCCACGCCCUAAACGAUGCACACUAGUUGUUGCCUUGCUCGACAAGGCAGUAAUGCAGUUAACACAGUAAGUGUGCCGCCUGGGGAGUACGGUCGCAAGAUUA
rnacentral:rRNA from 1 species